CUUGGCUCCUUACGUCUUGUGGGUUUAGGCCUCUAGAAGGUGCUUCCUCUGGUCUCCCCGGUGAACUGACCCCUGUGAACUGGAGGGUGAUGUUGGAGGGGAUGUAUCUGUUUCUGAGCACAACCAGAAGCGCUGGUAGAUGCUGGAGGAGUAAUGGCUCUCAUACUGCCUCACUGACAACCUCUUUACAAAUCAGACAGCUUAGUUAUAACCCAAAUUGGAUGAGAUAAUUUUGCAGAGACAUCAUACCUUCUGUCUGUCUUGAAGUGAAUGCUGCAUUUACUUCAUACUUAACUAGGUGUCAAAGGAAAUCUUUGGCUUAUUGCCAUGCUUUAAAAUAAAUACUGAUAAUACCAGGGAAAUUUCAGAAAUGUAGGAGAGAGGUAAUGUGUUGCCAAUGUUUAUAAUGCACAGGAAGGUUGACCUGAGCAAGCCUGGGCUAGCUAUUGCAUUAGCUGUCAAAGAAACCUGUUAUUUUUGAUUUGUGAUUACUAGCCUGGGAGAUGAUAAUUACAGAAUUGUGAUCUACACAGCUAUAUAGCUUUGAAAGGCUUUAUAUAAUGCAAAAUGAAUUUUGAUUUACAAAGUGAAUAUCCUACAAUAUCAGCCAAGCAUAUGUAAAAUGGGUUGAGAAUAGACUAACCGAAGAAUAGCAAAGGCAGUUGUUACUGAGAAAAUGUGAUUCUAAGAACUGUGUGUUUAAAUGUCUACCUUAGGUAAAGUGUAACUGACUUUGUUGAUGUGAUUUGGAGAAAAAAGAAAUCCUGCUGAAAACCUUUAUUCCUAGGACUGAAGAAUCCUAAUUAAUGAUCACGACAAAACUUUCCUACACUGGAAUCUGGAUUACCCAAUAAGCUGUGUCCUUUCAACAAGGUAGGUUUUAACACAUAGGUCAUUCACCCAUGGGAUCACAAAAGGAAAGCUCAGUCAAACAGAGAGCAUACACUGAAAAGGGGCUGGUCAUUGCAGUGUAUUUUAAACCUGAUAUGAAUCACUAGAAUGCUACUAUAGUGAGAAGACUGCUUGAUCAUACAUAGAACGAAGGAGGAGUGGAGUGCUGGAGUGCUGUUCUUCUGCUGUCUACUUUCUUAAAAGGAUUUUUAAAAUAACAAAAAAGAAAAAUAAUUUUAGGAUCACAGAACAAUCUACAGUGGGAAGCUUAAAAAUACUUGAUUAAAGAAUGUACUGAGAGGUGAUUUCUCAAGAGUAUGUAGGCAUCUGAGAUGGAACAAAAUGAAUGUUAGAGUCACUUAUAUAGUAAUGACAAACAGCUUAACAAAUAUGAGUGCCUAUCUGCAGAGUCUGGACAUCUGAAGGCAGAAAAGAAGCCACCAUUUCUGAUGAAAUGUUUCAACAAUCCAAACUGUUGGAGAAGGCAGUUCUCUCUUAAUGAGUUCAACUCAAACUUGGAUGACUUUCUGGAUGAAAAGCUUCAACCAAACAGAUUACUGGGCUUAAUGAAGAAAUAAGUGGAUGAAAUAUAAGGUCUUGUGAUAUCUCACAGGUCAGAUUAGAUGAUGCAAUAGUCCCUACUGACAUACAACACUGUGAGUCCUGAAAAGGCUGUUACCCAAUGUGGUCUACCAGUUUAGCGUAGACAGGACAGUCUAGACUGAAGCACACACUAGGAACCAGUGCUUUUAAGCAGUUUUGCAGGAUUUCAUUUCAUUAUAAAGUAAAACCCACUGGUUCAGUACAGGAGAAAUGCCAAACUGGCCUUAAAGAAGGAAUGACCUUCCUGGACCAUUUGUCCUUGGCAACCCUAUAAUAAUGCCAAAAUAACAAGUAAGAUGCUGUCUAGUCAGGGAGCGAUUCAAAGCUACUGCUGUUCUACUGAAAGAGUUUUCAUUUUGUUGUUCCAACUUACUGUACUUUUUCAGUCAAUUCUGGGUUGUUCAUGAACAUAUGAGAAAACAAUUAUGUCAUAUUUCUCAUGCCAAUACAAAAUGUUCACUAUUAAAACUGUGUAUAUUUUGUAUUCCAUUCAUAAAAGCUAUCCCUCCCCCAUGAUUGAUUCUGCAGAUUAAUAAAAAAAUAUUUGCAGUUUUUGUCU
rnacentral:lncRNA from 1 species